AUUGAACGCUGGCGGCAGGCCUAACACAUGCAAGUCGAGCGGAUGAAGAGAGCUUGCUCUUGGAUUUAGCGGCGGACGGGUGAGUAAUGCCUAGGAAUCUGCCUAGUAGUGGGGGACAACAGUUGGAAACGACUGCUAAUACCGCAUACGUCCUACGGGAGAAAGUGGGGGAUCUUCGGACCUCACGCUAUUAGAUGAGCCUAGGUACGAUUAGCUAGUUGGUGGGGUAAAGGCCUACCAAGGCGACGAUCGUUAACUGGUCUGAGAGGAUGAUCAGUCACACUGGAACUGAGACACGGUCCAGACUCCUACGGGAGGCAGCAGUGGGGAAUAUUGGACAAUGGGGGCAACCCUGAUCCAGCCAUGCCGCGUGUGUGAAGAAGGUCUUCGGAUUGUAAAGCACUUUAAGUUGGGAGGAAGGGCAGUAAGUUAAUACCUUACUGUUUUGACGUUACCAACAGAAUAAGCACCGGCUAACUCUGUGCCAGCAGCCGCGGUAAUACAGAGGGUGCGAGCGUUAAUCGGAAUUACUGGGCGUAAUCAGCCCGCGUAGAGUGCUUGCAUAAGUAUGAAGGGGAAAUUCCCCCGGAUCUAACCUGGAGAACUGCGCUCCAAAACGGUCGUGUGCUAGGAGUAAGCGUAGAAGAUGAGUGAAGAUUUCCCUCUGGUUCGACGCGGUGAAAUGCGUAGAUAUAGAGAAGGAACACCACCUGUGCGAAGGGCGACUACCUGGACUCGAUAUCGUCACACUUAGAGGUGCGAAAGCGUGGGUGAGCAAACCAGGUAUGAGAUACCCUUGGUAGGUCCCGACGCCGGUAAACGAGUGUUCACACUACCCGGUGGGGCUUCCUUGAUGAGCUUAAUGGGCGCAAGCUAAACGCAUUUAAGUUGACCCGCCUGGGGGAUGUACGCCCGCAAGGGUUAAAACUCCAAAUGAAAUUGACCGGGGGCCCGCACCAAGCCGGUGGGAGCAUGUGGUUUUAAUUCGAAAGCAACCGCGAAGAACCUUUACCUUGGCCCUGACAUGCUGAAGAAACUUUCCAGAAGAAUGGAUGGGUGCCCUUCCGGAAACUCAGAACAACAAGUUGCUGCAAUGGCCUGUCGGUCAGCUCCGUGUCCAUGGAGAAUGAUGGGGUUAAGGUUCCCGUAAGCGAGAGCCGCCAAACCACGUUGAGUCCCUUAGUUACCAGCACGUUUAUGGUGGGCACUCUAAGGAGACUGCCGGUGACAAACCGGAGGAAAGGUGGGGAUGACGUCAAGUCAUCAUGGCCCUUACGGCCAGGGCUACACACGUGCUACAAUGGUAGGUACAGAGGGUUGCCAAGCCGUGAGGUGGAGCUAAUCUCACAAAACCUAUCGUAGUCCGGAUUGGAGUCUGCAACUCGACUCCAUGAAGUCGGAAUCGCUAGUAAUCGUGAAUCAGAAUGUCACGGUGAAUACGUUCCCGGGCCUUGUACACACCGCCCGUCACACCAUGGGAGUGGGUUGCUCCAGAAGUAGCUAGUCUAACCUUCGGGGGGACGGUUACCACGGAGUGAUUCAUGACUGGGGUG
rnacentral:rRNA from 2 species